AUGAACGCUGGCGGCGUGCUUAACACAUGCAAGUCGAACGAUUAAGACGGCUUCGGCCGUGUAUAGAGUGGCGAACGGGUGAGUAACACGUGACCAACCUGCCCCGCGCUCCGGGACAACCGCUGGAAACGGCGUCUAAUACCGGAUGCUCCGGGGAGGCCCCAUGGCCUCCCCGGGAAAGCCUUAACGGCGCGGGAUGGGGUCGCGGCCCAUUAGGUAGACGGCGGGGUAACGGCCCACCGUGCCCGCGAUGGGUAGCCGGACUGAGAGGUCGACCGGCCACAUUGGGACUGAGAUACGGCCCAGACUCCUACGGGAGGCAGCAGUGGGGAAUUUUGCGCAAUGGGGGGAACCCUGACGCAGCAACGCCGCGUGCGGGACGAAGGCCUUCGGGUUGUAAACCGCUUUCAGCAGGGAAGACUUUGACGGUACCUGCAGAAGAAGCUCCGGCUAACUACGUGCCAGCAGCCGCGGUAAUACGUAGGGGGCGAGCGUUAUCCGGAUUCAUUGGGCGUAAAGCGCGCGUAGGCGGCCGCCUAAGCGGAACCUCUAAUCCCGGGGCUCAACCUCGGGCCGGGUUCCGGACUGGGCGGCUCGAGUGCGGUAGAGGCAGGCGGAAUUCCCGGUGUAGCGGUGGAAUGCGCAGAUAUCGGGAAGAACACCGAUGGCGAAGGCAGCCUGCUGGGCCGCCACUGACGCUGAGGCGCGAAAGCUGGGGGAGCGAACAGGAUUAGAUACCCUGGUAGUCCCAGCCGUAAACGAUGGACGCUAGGUGUGGGGGGACCAUCCCCCCGUGCCGCAGCCAACGCAUUAAGCGUCCCGCCUGGGGAGUACGGCCGCAAGGCUAAAACUCAAAGGAAUUGACGGGGGCCCGCACAAGCAGUGGAGUAUGUGGUUUAAUUCGACGCAACGCGAAGAACCUUACCAGGUCUUGACAUCCACUUAAACUUACAGAGAUGUAAGGUGUGCUUGCACAAAGUGAGACAGGUGGUGCAUGGUUGUCGUCAGCUCGUGUCGUGAGAUGUUGGGUUAAGUCCCGCAACGAGCGCAACCCCCGUCCCGUGUUGCCAGCAUUGAGUUGGGGACUCGCGGGAGACUGCCGGCGUCAAGCCGGAGGAAGGUGGGGACGACGUCAAGUCAUCAUGCCCCUUAUGCCCUGGGCUGCACACGUGCUACAAUGGCCGGUACAGAGGGUUGCCACCCCGCGAGGGGGAGCGGAUCCCGGAAAGCCGGUCCCAGUUCGGAUCGCAGGCUGCAACCCGCCUGCGUGAAGUCGGAGUUGCUAGUAAUCGCGGAUCAGCAUGCCGCGGUGAAUACGUUCCCGGGCCUUGUACACACCGCCCGUCACACCACCCGAGUCGUCUGCACCCGAAGCCGCCGGCCGAACCCUUCUGGGGCGGAGGCGUCGAAGGUGUGGAGGGUAAGGGGGGUG
rnacentral:rRNA from 1 species